rnacentral:lncRNA from 1 species
AGGGGCUUUUCAAGCUCUUGCUCAUCACAUCCCAUUGAAGCAAUGAAUGCAAAAGGCCAGGCCAGCAACAUCAUAAAAGCAGCAAAGAAGAGUCGGAUAGGAAAUAGAGUCAAGGUCAUGAAGGCAAUCUUGGUUUUCUCCAGGGGGCUGAAGCGCAGCUGGUGCACGAAGGGGCUCCGCGGCGGCGGCCCGCGCUCUCGGCUGCCGGCCACGCAGCAUCCCCGGCCGCGGCUGCUCAGCUUCAUGGCGGGGAAGGGCCGCGAGGAGAGAGGAAGAGAGAAGGGACAGAGCGAGGGCGCUGCGCGGCGACCGCUGCUCCGCAGGCGGCGGCGGCGG